GCCCGCCGCUACGGGAGGCAGCAGUGAGGAAUAUUGGACAAUGGAGGCAACUCUGAUCCAGCUACGCCGCGUGCAGGAAUAAGGCCUUAUGGGUUGUAAACUGCUUUUUUACGGGAAUAAACCGCCCCACGAGCUGGGGCGCUGAAUGUACCGUACGAAUAAGUACCGGCUAACUCCGUGCCAGCAGCCGCGGUAAUACGGAGGGUACAAGCGUUAUCCGGAUUCAUUGGGUUUAAAGGGUCCGUAGGCGGGUUGAUCAGUCAGUGGUGAAAGCCUGCAGCUCAACUGCAGAACGGCCAUUGAUACUGUCAGCCUAGAGUGAGGUUGCAGCAGCUGGAAUAUGUGGUGUAGCGGUGAAAUGCAUAGAUAUCACAUGGAACACCGAUUGCGAAGGCAGGUUGCUAAGCCUUAACUGACGCUGAGGGACGAAAGCGUGGGUAGCGAACAGGAUUAGAUACCCUGGUAGUCCACGCCGUAAACGAUGAUUACUCGGUGC
rnacentral:rRNA from 1 species